AGAAAGUGUACAAGAAAUAAUUGUUGUACAUAAAUACCAAAAAUCUUACACAACACAAGUUUCAUUCACAAAUACUCCAAUAAAUGUUCCUCAAGUUGAAGGUUCCAAUAUUUCAAAAUAACAAGUAUUCCAUAUAUUUAGCCCAUUGAACUCCACUUCUUUACGACCUCUUACCCCAAACACAUGCAAUGUCAGUAAAUUCUUCUUAGCUCAUUGAAUUCCACUUCUUUAAGAUCUCUUCUAACCCAAACACCAUGUACUAAGAUCCUUUUCUUUUCCAGUAGGCAACUUCU
rnacentral:lncRNA from 1 species